rnacentral:rRNA from 1 species
AGUGAACGCUGGCGGUAGGCCUAACACAUGCAAGUCGAACGGCAGCACAGUAAGAGCUUGCUCUUACGGGUGGCGAGUGGCGGACGGGUGAGGAAUACAUCGGAAUCUACUUUUUCGUGGGGGAUAACGUAGGGAAACCUACGCUAAUACCGCAUACGACCUACGGGUGAAAGCAGGGGAUAUUUGGACCUUGCGCGAUUGAAUGAGCCGAUGUCGGAUUAGUUAGUUGGCGGGGUAAAGGCCCACCAAGGCGCCGAUCCGUAGCUGGUCUCAGAGGAUGAUCAGCCACACUGGAACUGAGACACGGUCCAGACUCCUACGGGAGGCAGCAGUGUGGAAUAUUGGACAAUGGGCGCAAGCCUGAUCCAGCCAUACCGCGUGGGUGAAGAAGGCGUUCGGGUUGUAAAGCCCUUUUGUUGGGAAAGAAAAGCAGCAGGUUAAUACCCCGCUGUUCUGACGGCACCCAAAGAAUAAGCACCGGCUAACUUCGUG